AGCCCUCAAAUGUCCAACACUCCAACUCUUAAUGCACAAAACCAACAAUGCAAGCUCAAACCAAAAAAGUCUCCUUGUGCCAGAAAAACAAAGAACAAAAAGAGGCAAAUAAUUCAGAAAAACAAAAAGCUUAUAAUUAGUCAAGUGCUCUCAUAUACAAAGAAAACCAUGUCUGAGGGAAAAUCACAUUGUGCCGAAGCAAUACAAGCUCAAAGCAUAACAGCACGAAAAUUGCGAAGAGGGAAAAUCAAAGUGUAAUAGAGCAUAAAUUGUAAAGAGAAAAGCCGAGACUCACAAAUAUUCACAGCGGCAGCUGAAGUAUAUGAUGAUAAACACAGAACACAGCCGUGACUGAGGUGGAUUUCAACCCUUUUUGCUAGCCGCGACAGAGUGAGAGAUGAGACGAGUGAUGCUGAUGAGUGAUGAAAUGAACAAAGCCUCACCAUGAAGGUGAUGACAGGCCACGCCGCGAAGGAUCUGAUCUGAUUUGAAGAAGAGAUUAUAGGAGAGUUGAAGAGAGAGUGAGAGAGAUUAAGUGAGGACUCAGGAAUGAGUCACGGCUCACGGGUGAGAGAGAUUGAGAGAGGAAUGGAUUACGGAUGAGACUUGAGAGAUUGAGAGGAGAAAUUGCAGAUUUAUAAUAGAGUUCAGUAUAGUUGAAGAAGAAAUUUCGAGAGAGGAAGAACGACGAACGAGAGAGAUCUAG
rnacentral:lncRNA from 1 species